GCAGCCACUCAUUCAAAGAGUGCGUAAUAGCUCACUGGUCGAGUGAUCCUGCGCCGAAGAUUUCCGGGGCUAAAACUUACUACCGAAGCUACGGCAUCAGUAAGGAUGGGUAGGGGGUGUUCCCAGACGGGUUGAAGCAUGACCGUAAGGACAUGUGGACAGUAUGGGAGGGAGAAUGGUGGCAUGAGUAGCGAGAUGUGGGUGAGAAUCCCACAGGCCGUAAACCCAAGGUGUCCAGGGGAAGGUUCGUCCGCCCUGGGUUAGUCGGGACCUAAGCUGAGGCCGAAAGGCAUAGGUGAUGGACAACAGGUUGAUAUUCCUGUACUACCGAUAACCGUUUGAGAGAUGGGAUGACACAGUAGGAUAAGCUAAGCACACUGUUGGUUAUGUGUGCCCAAGCAUUGAGGCAGUCAAAGUAGGUAAAUCCGCUUUGAUAAUGCUGGGAUGUGAUGGGGAGCGAAAUUUAGUAGCGAAGUAGCUGAUUUCACACUGUCAAGAAAAGUCUCUAUCGAGGUUAAAGGUACCCGUACCGCAAACCGACACAGGUGGGUGAGGAGAGUAUCCUAAGGCCAGCGAGAGAACUGUUGUUAAGGAACUCGGCAAAAUGACCCCGUAACUUAGGGAUAAGGGGUGCCACCAUCAGGUGGCCGCAGAGAAUAGGCCCAAGCGACUGUUUACCAAAAACAUAGGUUUCUGCUAAGUCGCAAGACGAUGUAUAGGAGCUGACGCCUGCCCGGUGCUGGAAGGUUAAGGGGAUCUGUUAGAGCAAUCGAAGCAGUGAACUUAAGCC
rnacentral:rRNA from 1 species